rnacentral:rRNA from 1 species
UACGAAGGGAGCUAGCGUUGUUCGGAAUUACUGGGCGUAAAGGGCGCGUAGGCGGCUUGAUAAGUUUGGUGUGAAAGCCCUGGGCUUAACCUAGGAAUAGCAUUGAAUACUGUCAGGCUAGAGGCCGAGAGAGGGAAAUGGAAUUGCGAGUGUAGAGGUGAAAUUCGUAGAUAUUCGCAAGAACACCAGUGGCGAAGGCGAUUUCCUGGCUCGGUACUGACGCUAAGGCGCGAAAGCGUGGGGAACAAACAGG